rnacentral:rRNA from 1 species
CGAGGAAUAUUGGACAAUGGGCGCCAANNGUAUUCCAGCCAUGCCGCGUGCAGGAUGACGGUCCUAUGGAUUGUAAACUGCUUUUAUACAGGAAGAAACACUCCCUCGUGAGGAGCUUGACGGUACUGUAAGAAUAAGGAUCGGCUAACUCCGUG